rnacentral:rRNA from 1 species
AACGAAGUGAAUUGAAGUAUCUUAGUAGCUUCAGGAAAAUAAAUCAAACGAGAUUCUAUUAGUAGUGUGAAUGAAAAUAGAUAAAGGCUUAAAGUAAAAUGGACACAUCUGUUUGAAUAUAGGGGAACCUUCCUCUAAGCCUUAAUAUAAUAUACAAGUAAUAGAGAAAAGUACUGUGAAGGAACUUUUGUAAGUAGUAGUCUUAUAAGCAGCUCGAGAUAAGUUUAAUAAACGUAUAAGAGCGUACCUUUUGUAUAAUGGGUCAGCAAGUUCUAGUUAGAUGCAAGCAAAUACUUAUUGUAAGUAAAAAACAAUAGAUUUGCCUAGAUAAUCCAAUUAUUAAGUAAUGAAUGAGUAUCUAAUUAGAGACCCGAAGAGUAGUGAUCUUACCAUGGUCAGGCUUAUAAAAGGCCGAAUGGGUUAUCGUUGUAAAGAUAUCCAAAGAACUGUGGUAAGUUAGUGAAAGACAAUCCUGACUACUAUAGCUGGUUUUCCGCGAAACAUAUGUAAGUAUGUAGUUUAAAUAACAUCAUAGCAGGUACAGAACUGUAAUCUCGGACAAUUUGUGCAUUUUCAUUACUAGGGGGAAACCUCUAGAGAAUGGUAAUGCCUUGUGCAUAUGGGGGGUCGUGAAGACUCUAUUCGCGAGUAUUUGCUCUCGGAAGGGCAAUGAUGAAUGUUGAACUAUCAGACAUUUAACGAUAAGGUUGUGUGUCAAAAGGGAAACAGCCCAGAACAAGUGUUUAAGGUUCCAAAGUUUUUGUUAAGUGAAAGUAAGGAAGUAUUUAAACGAUACAACCAGGAAAUAGGCUUAGAAGCGGCCAUUUUUUAAAGACCUCGUAACAGAGCACUGGUUCAAAAGGUUAGUAAAAUAACCUAUUUAGUUAAAAGCGCCGAAGAUAUAACGGAUCUAAACAAAACACCGACACCUUGUCCAUAAAAAUACUAGGUUACCUUUGCUCUUUAGAGCAAAAGGUAAUUCUAUGUACUAUACGUAAACACUAGUUACGUAUUAUUUAUGGGGUAGCGGAACAUUGGGUAAAUAGGACUAGAAACAAAGGAAAUAAAAAGGUAUUGUACUUGGGGGUGAAAAUACCACUAGCUGUAAAAAGUUAGAAAAUCCAUUAACCCUUUGCAACUACGGGAAAAAAAAGUUCAACCGUAGCUGCACCACAAAGCACUACUAUUAGUAAAUAAUAGCUAGGAAAAAGGGAAGUACAUAUGUUUAAAGAUAACUACAACGUAGUUUGAGCGCUAACUAGCGCUAGUCCAGUAUAUCCCAAGCGAGAAUGCUGACACGAGUAACGAAAAAGAGGAUGCCGAAUAGGACCUCUCGCCUAAAGCUUAUGGAAAAGUGAUUCGGUCUCUAAAUUUAACCUAAAGGAUAAAAUGAUGAGAAGAUUAGAUGUGACAACAUAAAUAAAUAGAGUAAAAUGUUCUGGAAAAGCAGAUAAUCUAAAUAAGGAAAAAACGGUAAUAACCGAAAAAAAAACGAAAAAAACUAAUAAGAAUAAAUUUUCCUUAACAAUUAAAAUAAAAAACCGUACCUAAAAACUACCACAAGUAAGCUAGUAGAGAAUACGAAGGCGUUUGAGCUAACAAUCAUUAAGGAACUCGGCAAAAUGACACCGUAACUGAGGGAAAAGGUGUGCCAUUCCUACUGAUUAAUAUCAGUUUAGGAAGAGGAGACAUAAAAUGGUGUUGCACGACUGUUUAAUUAAAACACAGCACUUUGCGUAAGAUGUAAAUCAAUGUAUAGAGUGCGCUAUCUGCCCAAUGAUGGCUGGUUAACGGAUUUGCUUAAAUGAAAUACUUUAGGUUUUGAAGGAACCCCCAUUGAAUGGCGGCCUUAUCUAUAAGGGUCCUAAGGUAGCGAAAUACCUUGGCAUUUAAAUGAUGUCGCGCAUGAAUGAUCCAACGAUGCAACAGCUGUCUCAAUGAUUGGCUCAGUGAAACUGGAAUGGCAGUGAAGAUACUGCCUAUCUCUAGAUAGACGAGAAGACCCCAUGCAGCUUUACUGUUACUAGUUAUAGGGUAUAAUGAACAGGUUUUAGAGAAUAAGGUAGUUGCUACGACAUAAUUGAAACACCUUUACUCUGGUUGUUAUAUCAGUAGAAGAGGUCAUAUAUUUAUAUAUGACGUCUAAAUGUAAUCCGUAAAAGGAGAGGAUCAUUAGAUUCCUCUCAGGAGACAAUGGCUAGCAGAUGGUUUAUGCGGGGCACAGAUCCCAUAAAGAGUACCUGGGAGUAUCCAAAUUUAUUUUUGUAAUAUGCUAUACGCAAAUUAUAUAAAGCUUUAUUAAACCAUUGCUUUAUAUGGUUUGAUUUUUUAAAUUACUAUAUGUAGUUUGUUAUUUUUUAUAUUUACUUUUAAAGUAUCUAUAACGAAUUCAGUUAUAUUUCUAUUUAAGUUAGAACUAAACAAUUUAAUAUAAGUAAGAUUUUACCUAUGUGGAAAAUAGGUGUAUAGAUAAUAGUAAUAUUUACUAUUAUUGGUUAUUUUUUAGGAAAAUGAUAUUGAUAUAUACUUCCAAAGUUUAAUGGCUUAAUCUUGCUUUACUGUUUGACAUACACGUCUAUCAGUUGCGUAAGCAGGGCAUAAAGACCGCAAGACGCAGUAAGGAAAGGUCUUGUAUUAUUGAAAAAGCUACGCUGGGGAUAACAGGCUAAUUGCGCAAGAGAGUACAAAUUGAGUGCGCAGUUUGGCACCUCGAUGUCGGCUUAGCUCAUCCACAUGAAUGCAGGAAUCAUGAAGGGUACGACUGUUCGUCGAUUAAAGAGCUACACGAGCUGGGUUAAAUACGUCGUGAGACAGUAUGGUUUCUAUCUUCUAGAGGAAAUUAGAGUAAAAUAAGGAUAGCCCCUUCGUACGAAAGGAGUUGGGUAUGGUAACCUAUGGUUUACCUGUUGUUUAUACGCUUAAUAUUAACCUGAUAAAAUUACGGUGAGAAUAGGUGCUACUGAAUAAGUAGAGUAAUAAAAAUGAGAUUGACUCAUUUCCUAUUGGAACUAGAAAUGGUAAUACUUUUAUACUCAAGUAUUUAUGAAUAGUAUAGGCACGGCAGGAAAGCUAUGUUAGUUAAGAUAAGUGCUGAAUGCAUUUAGGCACGAAGCUUACCUUAAGAUACUCUUAGAAACGUAGUAUAACAUUACGAAU